UUUCUUCCUUCUCCUGUCCGCUCGGCUGUCACGGGGGAUGGUAGUUUAGCGACGGUCCCUGACGGCAGACAUCACGGCUCGUACAGCCCAGGGGAGGAGGGAUGGAGCUGAGAUGGACAGGGAGGGAGACACCGGCUUACGACGUCAAAGGAGUACAGACACACACAAACAGGGAUAGGGAGAGGAGAGGACAAGCAACCAGACUGCCAAUUCCCUCCGGUCUACUGAAGGAAACCUAAAUUCAUCCAUCACAACACUCCUCAUUCAGCAAAGCAAAGGGGGACAUUUGUUUAUUUUUUAUAUCAGAUUUAUUUGAGAGAGAGAGAGAGAGAGAGAGAGACAAUUACGGAUCCUCUGUGAGGAAAAGAGCAGGGGGAGAAAAACAACAAGCAGAUCUAGAAAAAAAAAAAAACACGCUCAUGCCGAAUAAAGGACCGUCGCUGGAUGUUACUUGUGUUGUUAUAGGGGGGGUACAGGCCUAACUUGUUACAGGAUUCAAAGACGCUCUUACAGACAAAUGAACUGAAUAAUUGAGAUUCAGUAACUAAAUAACAGCGCGGGGAAGAAGAAAGGCAGCCACUGAAUACGCCGAUUCUUUGCCACGAACAGCACCACAGACUUCUCAAUGAAGGAGCCUGACGCAAUCAAGCUCUUCAUCGGGCAGAUACCCCGAAACCUGGAGGAGAAGGACCUGAAGCCCAUCUUCGAGCAGUUUGGCAAGAUCUAUGAGUUGACGGUGAUAAAGGACAAAUACACAGGGAUGCACAAAGGAUGCGCCUUCCUGACAUAUUGUGCGCGCGAGUCCGCCCUCAAAGCCCAGAAUGCACUGCACGAGCAGAAGACACUACCAGGGAUGAACCGUCCAAUCCAAGUGAAGCCGGCAGACAGCGAGAGCAGAGGGGAAGACAGGAAGCUGUUUGUGGGCAUGCUGGGAAAACAGCAGACGGACACGGAUGUGAGGAAGAUGUUUGAGCCGUUUGGAAGCAUAGAGGAGUGCACGGUGCUCCGCGGGCCUGAUGGUACCAGCAAAGGGUGUGCAUUUGUAAAGUACCAGAGCAACGCAGAGGCCCAGGCCGCCAUCAAUGCUCUGCAUGGGAGUCGUACUUUACCAGGCGCCUCGUCCAGCCUGGUGGUGAAGUUUGCCGAUUCGGAGAAGGAGCGAGGGCUCCGGCGGAUGCAGCAGGUGGCCUCUCAGCUGGGAGUCAUCAGUCCCAUGACCCUGCACCUCGGGGCUUACAACGCCUACACACAGGCCUUGAUGCAGCAGCAGGCCUUGGUGGCGCAGUCAGCCUACCUCUCUCCUGUUGCCACGGUGGCGGCGGUUCAGAUGCAGCAGCUCGCCGCCCUCAACCCCAACAGCAUCAUUGCCACACCAAUCGCAUCCAUCACCCCCUCCUCAGGUACCAGCACUCCACCCUCCAUCGCAGCCACACCUGUUCCUGCCCUGCCUCCACCAAUCGCAGUGAACAGUUACACCUCUGUGCCCGCUCCACCCAACGGCCAAUCAGCAACUGAAGCCCUGUACACCAACGGGGUUCAUGCCUAUCAAGCUCAGAGUCCUGUCCUGGACCCCCUGCAGCAAGCUUACACAGGCAUGCAGCACUAUACAGCCACCUAUCCCACUGCCUACAGCCUGGUGGGACAGCCGUUCCCCCACCAGCCCACACUGGUGGCCCAGCAGCCGCAGCAGCCGCAGCAGCUGCAGCAACGAGAAGGUCCUGAGGGCUGUAACAUCUUCAUCUACCACCUGCCACAGGAGUUCACUGACUCUGAGAUACUGCAGAUGUUCCUGCCUUUCGGAAACGUCAUCUCUGCAAAGGUCUUUGUUGACCGUGCCACCAACCAGAGUAAAUGCUUCGGCUUUGUGAGUUUUGACAACCCGUCCAGCGCCCAGACUGCCAUCCAGGCCAUGAACGGCUUCCAGAUCGGCAUGAAGAGACUGAAGGUGCAGCUGAAGAGGCCCAAGGAUGCCAACAGGCCUUACUGAAGGAGACUGUCCCGUCCAUACAUAUAUCGUGGAGACGUGCGUCGCUAUGGCUACGGUUGCCUAGCAACCGCUAAAACCUCCCCCCCUUCCUUCUCACUGCGUUGAAAACCUAAGAGUUCAAUCAAGAAAACCACUUGGGAUGUCCCAGCCUUUUUUGGUUGUUUGACCAACCGUAUAGCACAGGAGCAACACUUCACAAAAAGCAGUAUCAUGUGUAUGUGCUUACAAAAACAACAAUGACAGCAGUAAUAUCAGCAACAAAUGCAUCAACAGAAUCAGCAUCCGCAAUAUCAGAAGUGCUCCAGAUUUCCUAUCAUUCCACAGCUGGAUUCAUUUAUAUUAUGUACAUACUCUAUUGUCGGCAACAAAAACUACAUGUUAAGAAAAAGCAUAUCACUGAUGUUAUUCUACUGAACAGGGUUCUACUGUAUAGUGUGAUUUGUGGUCUAUGGCGUUAACAGAAGGCCAGUCUGCACAGUCGGAGGCAAAAGAAAAUACUAUUCUGUACGAUUACCAUUGGUAAUAUUGUUAUGUAGAGUUAGUUUUAUUAUUUAUACGUAAAUUAAAACAUGGGGUAAUUAAACUGGAAGAGAAAUGGAUUUCCUCUCACUGUACAUACCUUGGUUUUAAGAACGGAGUUAAAGGACUUCAACAGUUAAGAUUCUCUGCUGCCACUACUUUUCAAAUUAACCAAGCGGAAGGAAGGGCUGGGAAUUUUUCUAUCUUGAUUUUUUACGUUUAAUUUAUUUGGUAAUCAAUUUGAUGGGAGGGGGGGAUGUGACAAUUUCUUUUUUAAUUUAAGAAGAAGAAGAAGAAGAAAAAAAAAAAAGGAUUCCUGCGGUCUUCAAGACAAUGAACACACUUAUUAUUAUAGAGUUUUUAAUUACAUAAAUGUACCUAUGGAAGUAAAAAAAAAACAAAAAAAACAUAAUGUUUCUUUAUUUAUUCUCUACAAUCGCUGUUUUAAAACAUAUGUCUUUAAAAGAAAAUAAAGUACAAUUUAGAAAAAAAAAAA